rfam:Glycine soja cultivar W05 scaffold943_20, whole genome shotgun sequence.
UUCUUAUUGGAUGAUGACCGUCAUGUGUCAUGUUCUGAUUUGUCAAUGAAAACAACAAUGCAUUUCAUCUUUCAUGGAGUUGACAUCAAAUCAGAACAUGACACGUAACACUUAUCAUCC